rnacentral:rRNA from 1 species
AUACGUAGGUGACAAGCGUUAUCCGGAUUUACUGGGCGUAAAGGGCGUGUAGGCGGUCUUGCAAGUCAGAAGUGAAAUUCCUGAGCUCAACUCGGGCGCUGCUUCUGAAACUGCAGGACUUGAGUGCUGGAGGGGAUAGCGGAAUUCCUAGUGGAGCGGUAAAAUGCGCAGAUAUUAGGAAGAACACCGGUGGCGAAGGCGGCUAUCUGGACAGUAACUGACGCUGAGGCGCGAAAGCGUGGGGAGCAAACAGGAUUAGAUACCCUGGUAGUCCAUGCCGUAAACGAUGAAUACUAGGUGUAGGGGGUAUCGACUCCCUCUGUGCCGCAGUUAACACAAUAAGUAUUCCGCCUGGGGAGUACGGCCGCAAGGUUGAAACUCAAAUGAAUUGACGGG